rnacentral:rRNA from 1 species
UUCAGUGACCCACCUGAAGCUAAGCAGGUUUAGGCCUGGCCAGUAUAUGGAUGGGAGACCAACUAGGACAGCUGGGUUGUUGCUGGAA